AUGGGCCAUACCAGGAACGGGGG
rnacentral:misc_RNA from 1 species